GACGAACGCUGGCGGCGUGCUUAACACAUGCAAGUCGAACGGAAAGGCCCUUUCGGGGGUGCUCGAGUGGCGAACGGGUGAGUAACACGUGGGUGAUCUGCCCUGCACUUCGGGAUAAGCUUGGGAAACUGGGUCUAAUACCGGAUAGGACCGCAUGCUGCAUGGUGUGUGGUGGAAAGCUUUUUGCGGUGUGGGAUGGGCCCGCGGCCUAUCAGCUUGUUGGUGGGGUGAUGGCCUACCAAGGCGACGACGGGUAGCCGGCCUGAGAGGGUGUCCGGCCACACUGGGACUGAGAUACGGCCCAGACUCCUACGGGAGGCAGCAGUGGGGAAUAUUGCACAAUGGGCGCAAGCCUGAUGCAGCGACGCCGCGUGGGGGAUGACGGCCUUCGGGUUGUAAACCUCUUUCACCAUCGGCGAAGGCUCGGGGUUUCUCGGGUUGACGGUAGGUGGAGAAGAAGCACCGGCCAACUACGUGCCAGCCGCCGCUGUAAGA
rnacentral:rRNA from 1 species